CCACAAUUUCUUAAUCCAGUCUGAGAUAGAAUACUUUCAGUAGUGCUUUGAGUUUGUUUUUCAAGUAAACCUCUUCCCAUGCCAUGCGUCCUAUUGUAAUGAUUGCUAAUGAUUCUAACAUUGCUGUAACCAUAUUUUACCAUAAUUAACAUUGUAGAUAUUUGCCUGCCCAAUUAGCUGGAGGCUCCUUGAUGGCAGAGACUGCCUCCUUGGUAUCCCCAGCACACAGCACAGAACCUGGCACAUACUGUUGCCUCCACGUACCUGAAAUGCCAGUGCUCCAGCUGUCUUGAUUGAGAGGCCUAGUUUGCAAGAAAACAAGACAAAAUACUUUGCUGCCUUAAUUCCAGUGGGAAUUUAAUUUAAUUAGCAUCUGAUUUACACAAUGCACUUCUGACAGCUGUGUUUGUGGAGUCUCUGUGGAAGCAAGAAAUUACCAUCCAUUGAAAUCAUCAUCAAAGCUUAUUUAUCAUCCUGCCAUGUCUUUCCAGCCUUCAGCCUUGGGAACUUCUGUGUGUUUAUUGCACAUUCAUGAAGGUUACAGUAAAUAAUACUCAACAACCCCGAGAGCACAUCACAGUAUGGAGAAAACAUAAGAUCAAAGAAGCAUGCAACACUGAGCUAUCACACGGAGAACACCUGUCUG
rnacentral:lncRNA from 1 species